GGGAAUAUUGCACAAUGGGCGCAAGCCUGAUGCAGCCAUGCCGCGUGAAUGAUGAAGGCCUUAGGGUUGUAAAAUUCUUUCGCCAAGGAUGAUAAUGACACUACUUGGUAAAGAAGCCCCGGCUAACUUCGUGCCAGCAGCCGCGGUAAUACGAAGGGGGCUAGCGUUGUUCGGAAUUACUGGGCGUAAAGCGCACGCAGGCGGUCUGUUAAGUCAGAUGUGAAAUCCCCGGGCUCAACCUGGGAACUGCAUUUGAAACUGGCAGGCUAGAAUGCAGUAGAGGGAGGUGGAAUUUCCGGUGUAGCGGUGAAAUGCGUAGAGAUCUGAAGGAACAUCAGUGGCGAAGGCGACUCACUGGGCCAUUACUGACGCUGAGGUGCGAAAGCAAG
rnacentral:rRNA from 1 species